rnacentral:rRNA from 1 species
GUAGUCAUAUGCUUGUCUCAAAGAUUAAGCCAUGCAUGUCUAAGUAUAAGCAAUUAUACCGUGAAACUGCGAAUGGCUCAUUAAAUCAGUUAUCGUUUAUUUGAUAGUACCUUACUACUUGGAUAACCGUGGUAAUUCUAGAGCUAAUACAUGCUGAAAACCCCAACUUCGGGAGGGGUGUAUUUAUUAGAUAAAAAACCAACGCCCUUCGGGGCUUCUUGGUGAUUCAUGAUAACUUUACGGAUCGCAUGGCCUUGCGCCGGCGACGGUUCAUUCAAAUUUCUGCCCUAUCAACUUUCGAUGGUAAGGUAUUGGCUUACCAUGGUUUCAACGGGUAACGGGGAAUUAGGGUUCGAUUCCGGAGAGGGAGCCUGAGAAACGGCUACCACAUCCAAGGAAGGCAGCAGGCGCGCAAAUUACCCAAUCCCGACACGGGGAGGUAGUGACAAUAAAUACUGAUACAGGGCUCUUUUGGGUCUUGUAAUUGGAAUGAGUACAAUUUAAACCUCUUAACGAGGAACAAUUGGAGGGCAAGUCUGGUGCCAGCAGCCGCGGUAAUUCCAGCUCCAAUAGCGUAUAUUAAAGUUGUUGCAGUUAAAAAGCUCGUAGUUGAAACUUGGGUCUGGCUGGCAGGUCCGCCUCACCGCGUGUACUUGUCCGGCCGGGCCUUCCUUCUGGAGAACCUCAUGCCCUUCACUGGGCGUGUUGGGGACCAGGACUUUUACUUUGAAAAAAUUAGAGUGUUCAAAGCAGGCCUUUGCUCGAAUACGUUAGCAUGGAAUAAUAGAAUAGGACGUGCGGUUCUAUUUUGUUGGUUUCUAGGACCGCCGUAAUGAUUAAUAGGGACAGUCGGGGGCAUCAGUAUUCAAUUGUCAGAGGUGAAAUUCUUGGAUUUAUUGAAGACUAACUACUGCGAAAGCAUUUGCCAAGGAUGUUUUCAUUAAUCAGUGAACGAAAGUUAGGGGAUCGAAGACGAUCAGAUACCGUCGUAGUCUUAACCGUAAACUAUGCCGACUAGGGAUCGGGCGAUGUUCUUUUUUUUGACUCGCUCGGCACCUUACGAGAAAUCAAAGUUUUUGGGUUCUGGGGGGAGUAUGGUCGCAAGGCUGAAACUUAAAGGAAUUGACGGAAG